UGGCCAGCUGAGGCAUCAGUGCUACGCUCCAGCACUGACAUACACACUCGCCACUCUCUCUCUCUGUCCCUCUCCAGGACUGCGCUCUGGAUAUCAAGGUGAAAGACUUGUUUGGCCUGUAACUCCAGCUGGCAGGGUUGAUGCAGCCUGUUUUGGUAUUUGGUGUAUUUAUUUCCCCUUUCUUUCGUCUCUGAAUCAGCCUGGGAGAGCACGCAUAGAAUGUGGCUGGCUUGGGCUGACAGGUCAUUUAGUAAACAGGUUGAGGAAGGUUUGACAGAUGAUAUGGAUAAAUAAUUCAUACGAAUUGUCAAGCGUCUCUGACUGCAUGGCCACGGACAGCCAGAAGCCAGGGCAGAUUAAGCUGUGCUCCUAAACAGUUCGUAUCAGUACAUUUCCAGAAACUGGAUUGCGAUUCCCACUUCCAUCACAACCUUCACCAAGAACCAGAAACUCAGAAAAACCCACACAGCCGGUGUAGAAAAAGAAGCAGUUUAUUUUCUGCAAAACACUACUGACAUCAGAACACUCACCUGGAGAGAGACACGCACACUCGCCCACCCACCCACACAUCCACACAUCUUACACUUUACACAUACUGUAAACGCAGCCAUUGACGAUAAUAUUCACAAUAAUACAGCUACUCUUUUUUUUACAUUGUACAAGCCACCCACUGCCUAAGAAAUGACUAUUUUUAUUUAAUUUUCCCUUCUAAUGUCGUGAGAUUCAUGUCCCUGUAUGAGAAGUGAGCAUACCCGAUAAAUUCCAAAUAUCCACAAGAAUGGACAGUAAAAGAGGUCCAAGACCCAAUAUGGUCGCCAGGACAUCCAAUAAACAAGGCGUUAUAAACAUGUCAACAAGGGAGGAGUGGAGUCAUGAUAAAUAAUGAGACAAAAGUUUUUUAAAGGAAGAGAUAAUCGCAGUAUUUCGUUUUUCUUCUAAAAGAUAUUUCAGAAGCUGCAUUUUACAGUCCAGCUUGGGCCAGAUCAGUCAAAGACACAAGUGACACCACCUCCCUGAUGCUGUGGGAGGGGUGCAUGAUCAAAACAGAUUUCUUUUUCACCUUUUGUGUAAGAAAUGGUAGAAAUCUCAGGCCACAUAGUAGUAAUCUGGGUAAUUUUUGGGGGGUUUUUAAAGUCACCUUCCAUGUCAAAAUUAAGUCAAAUAAUAUUUAGAACCCACAUCAAUCAACCCCACAUCAACCCCAUUUUAUUUUCAAAAAAUACAUUCUUGUUUUUAAAAUGAAAAAAUUAAUUCCACAUGAAUUUCUCAAAAGGAAUCUCAUCUAUAAAUAAGACAUAUGUGUAAAAAAAA